GACGAACGCUGGCGGCGUGCCUAAUACAUGCAAGUCGAACGCAGUGGGGACGGGUGAGUAACCCGUGGGUAACCUCCCAUCAGAGGGGAUAACACUUGGAAACAGGUGCUAAACCGAUACUGAUGGAUGGACCCGCGGUGCAUUAGCUAGUUGGUGAGGUAACGGAGCACCAAGGCCACGAUGCAUAGCCGACCUUGCAGGGUGAUCGGCCACACGGGGACUGAGACGCGGCCCAGACUCCUACGGGAGGCAGCAGUAGGGAAUCUGGGGCAAUGGGCGAAAGCCUGAUCCAGCAAUGCCGGGGGUGUGAUGAAGGUUUUCGGGUCGUAAAGCUCGUUUGGCAGGGAAGCGGUAGCUGGAGAAAAAGCAACGGCUAACUACGUGCCAGCAGCCGCGGUAAUAC
rnacentral:rRNA from 1 species